rnacentral:misc_RNA from 1 species
AACGCACAUUGCGCCCGCCAGCAUUCUGGCGGGCAUGCCUGUUCGAGCGUCAUUUCAACCCUCAGGCCCUGCCUGGUGUUGGAGGACUGCGCACGCAGCCUCCCAAAGCAAGCGGCGGCGGCGCCCCAAAACCGAACGCAGUAGUUACUUCUCGUUCUGGGUCUGGGUCGUUGUCCUGCCGGAAAACCCCCAUCUUUUUAAUGGUUGACCUCGAAUCAGGUAGGAAUACCCGCUGAACUUAA